AAGACCUUACUUCAUAGGAUCAUUUCUAUAGUAAGCUCUUCACGAGAACGCUUACAUUACGUAGGAUCAGACCAGCCAUGAGGAUGAGACGUGGCGUGGUACCCUGAGCGUGAGGUGGGCGGUGACGGUGUCACCAGCCCUCGAUGAUCGUUCACCCUCUGCUUGCAGUGGGCGUGGGGUACUGUCGCUGUCUGAGUGGC